UCCCUGGUGGCUCAGAUGGUAAAGUAACUGCCUACAAUGCAGGAGACCCAGGUUCGAUCCCUGGGUUGGGAA